UUUGAUGAUGCUUAAACAUUUUUACCUACAUUAUUUGAACGUAGAAACCAUGUAAACAAAAACAGAAACUGAGAAG
rnacentral:snoRNA from 1 species